rnacentral:rRNA from 1 species
AGAGUUUGAUCCUGGCUCAGGAUGAACGCUAGCGGCAGGCUUAACACAUGCAAGUCGAACGGUAACAUAAGAGCUUGCUCUUGAUGACGAGUGGCGAACGGGUGAGUAACACGUGUGCAACUUGCCUCCGACCGGGGGAUAGCCCGAAGAAAUUCGGAUUAAUACCCCAUAAAGAUUGAGAACCGCAUGGUUUUCUUUUCAAAACUCCGGUGGUCGGAGAUGGGCACGCGUCCUAUUAGUUAGUUGGUGAGGUAACGGCUCACCAAGACCGCGAUAGGUAGGGGUUCUGAGAGGAUGGCCCCCCACACUGGUACUGAGACACGGACCAGACUCCUACGGGAGGCAGCAGUGAGGAAUAUUGGACAAUGGACGAAAGUCUGAUCCAGCCAUGCCGCGUGCAGGAAGACGGCCCUCUGGGUUGUAAACUGCUUUUAUACGGGAAUAAACCCCCCGACGUGUCGGGGGCUGAAUGUACCGUACGAAUAAGCACCGGCUAACUCCGUGCCAGCAGCCGCGGUAAUAC